rnacentral:rRNA from 1 species
AGGCAGCAGUUAGGAAUCUUCCGCAAUGGACGAAAGCCUGACGGAGCAACGCCGCGUGAGCGAAGAAGGCCUUCGGGUCGUAAAGCUCUGUUGUUAGGGAAGAACAAGUGCGAGAGUAACUGCUCGCACCUUGACGGUACCUAACCAGAAAGCCACGGCUAACUACGUGCCAGCAGCCGCGGUAAUACGUAGGUGGCAAGCGUUAUCCGGAAUUAUUGGGCGUAAAGCGCGCGCAGGUGGUUUCUUAAGUCUGAUGUGAAAGCCCACGGCUCAACCGUGGAGGGUCAUUGGAAACUGGGGAACUUGAGUGCAGAAGAGGAAAGUGGAAUUCCAAGUGUAGCGGUGAAAUGCGUAGAGAUUUGGAGGAACACCAGUGGCGAAGGCGACUUUCUGGUCUGUAACUGACACUGAGGCGCGAAAGCGUGGGGAGCAAACAGGAUUAGAUACCCGAGUAGUCC